GGAGGGGUGGCCGAGUGGCUGAAGGCAGCGGUUUGCUAAACCGUCCUAGGGGGUAAACCUCUAGCGGGGGUUCGAAUCCCCCCUCCUCCGCCA
rnacentral:tRNA from 1 species